rnacentral:lncRNA from 1 species
AUAAGCCCCGUAUAACAUUCUACAAAACUCGUCCUACGUCAUCUGUAGAGCGACCAAACCUCUAGUCUGCCUCAUCCUUCUCCACUGGGCAUGCGCAUCACCUGCCAAACAGUACACUGCCAGAUGUACCUGCUCUGGCUCCAGAAUAAACAGAUCCUCGAACAGUUUCUCCAUCGCACUUACCCAACUCUCCAUGACCCAAGGCUCGAUGCGACUGCCAUCGAAGUGCAGCGACGCCUCUCCCGGAGGUGCAACUAGUGCUGUACGAACCGUCGCUGGUGGGGGUACAGCGGUGGCAGGUGCGGCCACUGGAGUAGUCGG